rnacentral:rRNA from 1 species
UACGUAGGGCGCAAGCGUUAUCCGGAAUUAUUGGGCGUAAAGAGCUCGUAGGCGGUUUGUCGCGUCUGCCGUGAAAAGUCCGGGGCUCAACUCCGGAUCUGCGGUGGGUACGGGCAGACUAGAGUGAUGUAGGGGAGACUGGAAUUCCUGGUGUAGCGGUGAAAUGCGCAGAUAUCAGGAGGAACACCGAUGGCGAAGGCAGGUCUCUGGGCAUUAACUGACGCUGAGGAGCGAAAGCAUGGGGAGCGAACAGG